UUACUCCUCUGAAAUCGACGAUAACUCUCGCACUCACUCUCACGCUCACUCUCAAUGCUCUCAAUUUUUCAAUCUCGCUCUGCCCCCUCAAUCUCUCAGUUCUCUGAAUCUAUCGAUCUUGUUCUGCCUCCUAUAUUUUUGGUUUUGCCUCCUCUCGAUCUCUCGCUCUGCUUCGUCGAUCUCAUGCAUGAUUCAAUCGCAGACUAAAUCUCAUUCCAGUAAGCAAGUCAAAUCAAAGGAGAUGUUUAAUUUGAGGAGGUAGGAACCCUAAAAUUGAUUGCGAUGGGGCGAGGAAAGAUUUCGAUUCGAAGGAUCGACAAUUCAACGAGCCGACAGAGCGUUGGCGCUUCCAUGUCUCAAAACAUCUAAAUGCCGCCGCACCGCCAUGCUUCGCGUUAGGGCCUCUGUAGCCAUUGACCAACACACUCACCAGACCACCUCCAACCUCGCACUCCUCAGAAUUGGAACCAGAGGAAGGAGAGGUUCCUUACAGAGAAGGACAAUCAAUUGGGGUGAUUCCAGAUGGCAUUGACAAGAAUGGAAAGCCUCACAAGCUCGGAUUGUAUUCUAUUGCUAGCAGUGCUCUUGUUGAUCUUGGAGACUCAUAAAAAAUUGUGAGUCUUAUUUUGGAGACCUAUACAUGAGACAAGAAUGGAAAGCCUCACAAGCUCGGAUUGUAUUCUAUUGCUAGCAGUGCUCUUGGUGAUCUUGGAGACUCAUAAAAAAUUGUGAGUCCUAUUUUAGAGACCUAUACAUGAUUUGGGUUAUACCUUUUCGUUCCGUUCAUACUUUAAUUACUCUGCAAUCUGAUAUAUUUGAUAUGAUGCUCUCAUUCACUCACCCAGGUUUCUCUAUGUGUGAAACGUCUUGUGUAUACAAAUGAAAAUGGAGAACUUGUCAAGGGAGUCUACUCAAAUUUCCUGUGCAAUGAUCAAUAGUUUGAGUUUUCAAUAUUUCUAUAUAAUGUGUUCUUAAACAAAUUUAGGUCUAAAUUUAAGCCUUUCUUUUUGGAACUUAUGUUGUUGUUUAUUCAGGUGACUUGAAAUCAGGAGCUCAAGUAAAGAUUAAUACUUCCCAUAAUAAUCAUUUUUUGCUUAGCUUUCUCUUUUUCUAUCAAAUUUAAACCUAAUACUUCUUUUUGCUCUUAAAUGUCAAACCCUUUGUGUUUUUUUUUAAAUUACUAUUUUGCUUCUACCAAACUUAGACGGUUAGACCUACUACCUUUCCUGAACUGUUGGGUUUAUUGAACGAUAUAUCACAAUCUAUUAUUAUUAGUUUUUUUUUUUUUUGAGCUUGAGGUUUAUCCGGUGAUGGGGAUUUUGAUAUUUGUUAAGGUGGGAGUGAAUAAUGAAUCUAAUCUAAUUUAAUUUUGUACAAUGAUUGAGGGUUCUAAUUAUAUGAUGGUGCCUUCUCCAAUUCCUAGACCUUUGAUAAUGCUGCAGACUUUAUGACUUUAAUUUAUAUGGAAUCUUUUCUGUUAAAUGUUGACAUGUUGGUCUUUUUCCAUGGUUUACUUUUUCCAUGUUGGUCUUUAAUAUAUAAAGGCCAAAAGUUCAAAAAUCAUGAAGUAGUUGUUGCUGAGAAAGAGGUACUUAUAUCAUUCUUUGCAUUUUUUUUCUAAGUUAAAGUUUGUCUAAAUUGAUUAAUUAAAAUUGUUGAUUUUAGCUAGCUAGGUGGCUACUAAUAUUAUUUUCUUGUCUUUAGUUAGUUUGGAGAAUUUCAUUAAUUUGUAAGAGCAAGUAGUGUUUGACAAUUUGGAUUAUCCUGCAUUGAGCAAGUAGUGUUUGGCAAUUUCUAAUAUAUGCUAAAAUUAUGAUAUAAAAUACAUGCAUGCACACAGAGCAUCUGUACUUUGCAGCUGUAUACAUAUGUAUCAUGUAUGUACAGAUGUAUAUUAAUCGCUCCAUCAAUAGUUAUAGUAAAUCAAAGUCCUCUAUAUUUAGAAUUAAAACCGAAGAAGUUAAAAUAGCAUUUAUGGUUCAUGCUUUGUAAUAAUCAUAUUAAGAUUAGUUGAAGUAAUAUGUUUUACUUUUAAAUAAAGCUGAUAUUACUUUUUCUUUCUUGUUAAGUGAAAAUAUUAGUAUUGGUACCUUAAAAUAGUUGUUAUUUUUUUUGUAGGUUUUUUAUUCUUCUCUUACUCAAGAGGCAACUAACAGAAACUCAUGAUGUACAAACCAGCCACAUAGAGAAAUAAAUUAUAUUGGUAACCUGUGUUCUGAAUUUUCAUCUAUUGGACUAAUUUUAGUAUUUAAAUAUCUUGGGUUUAAUUUGUAAAGUGGGUAUAGAAUAUGUAGUUGAAAAAAAAUUUGUGCAUUUAAAUGUUAUUAAAGAUUUAUUGCAAUAUUAUUUUAGUGUUAGUAAAGAAGAUCUUUU